rnacentral:rRNA from 1 species
GUAGUCCACGCCGUAAACGAUGGACACUCGUCCUCUGCGUGGUAACCAUUCCACGUGGGGGGCUCAGCUAACGCGGAAGUGUCCCGCCUGGGAACUACGAGCGCAAGCUUAAAACUCAAAGGAAUUGACGGGGGCCCGCACAAGCAGCGGAGCGUGUGGUUUAAUUCGACGCAACGCGCAGAACCUCACCCAGAUUUGACAUGCAGCUGCAAGCUUCUGAAAGGAAGUCGCCUUCGAGGGUGCUGCACCGGUGCUGCAUGGCUGUCGUCAGCUCGUGUUGUGAGAUGUUGGGUUAAGUCCCGCAACGAGCGCAACCCCCGCGGCUAGUUACUCGUGUCUAGCCGGACUGCCCGAUUGGGAGGAAGGUGGGGAUGACGUCAAGUCCGCAUGGCCCUUACGUCUGGGGCGACACACACGCUACAAUGGCGCCGACAAUGCGUUGCGACUGAGCAAUCAGAAGCGAACCGCACAAACGGCGUCCCAGUGCAGAUCGGGGGCUGCAACUCGCCCCCGUGAAGGCGGAGUUGCUAGUAACCGCGUAUCAGCCAUGGCGCGGUGAAUACGUACCCGGGCCUUGUACACACCGCCCGUCACGUCAUGGGAGUUGGCAAUGCCUGAAGUCCGUGGGCUGACCCUUUCGGGGGGGGCAGCGGCCGAGGGCAGGGUCAGCGACUGGGACG